CAUCAUCAUUUCAUAUCAACAGAAAAACCCAAACCGACUGUGAGAGUGAGUCCUCAGAGCUCCGUCUACACUGGAGACAGAGUUACUCUGAACUGUAAUCUGCUGUCUAAUGGAUGGACUUUUCUCUGGUACAAAGAUCGAGUCCAAGUAGCUGAAGACACCGACACACUCCAUGAUACAGUCUCUAAUGCAGGAGAAACAGUGUAUCAGUGUAAAGCACGCAGAGGAAACUACGACUCAGAGCUCAGUGAUCCAGUUACAGUUACAGUUAGAGUUCUAUCAGAUAGAAAAGCUCCACUGUCGGUACUGAAGCUCCUCAGCAGUGCAGUAGCGGCCUCUCCGUAUGUGCUGGUGACCAUCAUUCUGGCAGUGAAGUGUUACAGAGCUCGAACUGACCCUGACGAGGACAACAGACCGUACAGAGUGAUAGAAGCUGAAGCGUCUGUCUGAGUCUCAGGGAACAGACGUGAGAAAUGCGACGUGACAAAAGAAAGAACGACUCGGAUCGGGAGGUGAGGUGAACUAACAGACUGUAUAGCCUGAAGACCUAAUGAUAAGCUAUUAAUUAAUCAUUUCUGUUUCUCAUAAUUUGGCCUUGGCUGCAAUAGCCUAUUUUUAUAUUUUAUUCCAAAUGUGAUCAACGUUUGUGCAAGUACUAGAUGUGUUGGUGAAUUUAACAUGUAAUAUUUUAAUUAUAUUCUGCUGAAAUGAAAGAAAUGACUUGAAAAAAGAUUUGUUCAUUUUGCUGAAGGAGAUUCAAAGACCCGAGUCAGUAAAAUGGUCCGAACUUCCCAUCACUACUGCUCACUGCAGAGCCAAAUAGAUGGAGCUGGACGUCUAGCUCCACCUCUAUUGAUCUAGUCUAGUAAUUUAUGGAUCUAGUCUAGUUCCACUUCUAUGGCUCAUUUCGCCAUCUACUGGUUGUUAACGUCAAUGCAAGCCCUUCAUUAGAUCAAACUUACCUAAUGGGGAAAAAAUGUUGAUUGAUAAUGCACGAAGGUUAGGUCAAAGUAACCAUGAGACUUGCAUGGAACUGGAGAUGCUGGCAUAGCUAAUAUUGCCUUAUCUCUAACAUUUUUCAUGAUUUCAUGAAUUGAAUUUUCUGCACUGUUUCUGUGACAAACUGCAUGACUAGACUACUUUCUUUUUCCCCACUGUAUUAAGGUUAUGUAGGCUAUUUGUGAAUUUCCUAAGUCAUAUGUGAUUCAUUAAUGUAAUAAAGUGUGCUCCUAAUAUGCUCUUUGCUUUUAAACAUGGGAACUGAGUUACCCUUGCA